UGAUGACAAGAGUAGCAAAUUAUUUCAGUAAAUGUUGUGCUUAGUUUUCCCAUUUGUUCUUUGAUUUAUAUAUAUAUGUAAUACAGCUAGGAAAUAGAAUAGUGUUGUAGGACUGAGUUCUUUAGGGCUUGCAUGUUUGUAUGUCAGUAAGGGAUUACAACAAUUUACCCUGCUCAUUUCCCCAGGUUUCUACUGCUGUAUUAUCUAUAACUGCCAAGGCUAAAAAGAAGGAAAAAGAAAAGGAAAAAAAAGAGGAGGAGAAAAUGGAAGUGGAUGAGGCAGAGAAAAAGGAAGAA
rnacentral:sRNA from 1 species